GAGGGUAUUGCUCAGUGGUAGAGUGCAUGCCUUGCAUGCAGGAGGUCCUGGGUUCAAUCCCCAGUUUCUCCA
rnacentral:tRNA from 1 species